rnacentral:rRNA from 1 species
CCUACGGGUGGCUGCAGUGGGGAAUAUUGGACAAUGGGCGCAAGCCUGAUCCAGCCAUGCCGCGUGAGUGAUGAAGGCCUUAGGGUUGUAAAGCUCUUUCACCGAUGAAGAUAAUGACGGUAGUCGGAGAAGAAGCCCCGGCUAACUUCGUGCCAGCAGCCGCGGUAAUACGAAGGGGGCUAGCGUUGUUCGGAUUUACUGGGCGUAAAGCGCACGUAGGCGGUUUGUUAAGUCAGGGGUGAAAUCCCAGAGCUCAACUCUGGAACUGCCUUUGA